GUGAAAUGAUGAGAUAUGUCAUGCUAAUACUGAGGGCUCACGUGGCGUCUUGACGGACGCCACGCUGGAGCUCAAUGAGUUGAAAUUCUUCUCAUUAAAUGAAUCUGAUCACA